AUGGGGGGAACCCUGAUCCAGCCAUGCCGCGUGUGUGAAGAAGGCCUUAUGGUUGUAAAGCACUUUAAGCGAGGAGGAGGAGCUCUUAAGUUAAUACCUAAGAUGCAUGUGGACGUUACUCGCAGAAUAAGCACCGGCUAACUCUGUGCCAGCAGCCGCGGUAAUACAGAGGGUGCGAGCGUUAAUCGGAUUUACUGGGCGUAAAGCGUACGUAGGCGGCUUUUUAAGUCGGAUGUGAAAUCCCUGAGCUUAACUUAGGAAUUGCAUUCGAUACUGGGAAGCUAGAGUAUGGGAGAGGAUGGUAGAAUUCCAGGUGUAGCGGUGAAAUGCGUAGAGAUCUGGAGGAAUACCGAUGGCGAAGGCAGCCAUCUGGCCUAAUACUGACGCUGAGGUACGAAAGCAUGGGGAGCAAACAGGAUUAGAUACCCUGGUAGUCCAUGCCGUAAACGAUGUCUACUAGCCGUUGGGGCCUUUGAGGCUUUAGUGGCGCAGCUAACGCGAUAAGUAGACCGCCUGGGGAGUACGGUCGCAAGACUA
rnacentral:rRNA from 1 species